CGCAACAGAGAAGAGGAGGAAGCACCGUUGUUGGCGAUGACGAGGACACCGAAGCUCACAUCGCUCCAAUCGUCAAGCUCGAGGAGGUUGUUGUCACCACCGGCGAGGAAGACGAAGAUGCAAUUCUGGAUUUCUUUACCGGUUUGACAAGGAUGAGAACCAGUGGAAGGAGCAAGGCACCGGCACCGUGAAGUUCCUGAAGCAUAAGGCUUCUGGCAAUGUUAGCCAUCUCAUGAGGCAAUCCAAGAUGCUCAAGAUCUGCGCUAAUCAUCUCAUUUUGCCUACAAUGAGUGCGCAAGAGCAUGCCGGGAACGAGAAAUCCUGUGUCUUCUACUGAUAUGCCAAACAUAAGUAUAUUCUUGUUUAGUGCAUUGCUCUGGUUACUUCACCAGCUUAACAAUUUCUUCCUUAUUACUAUGUUAAAUCAUAUUGGUAUUCUUUUAUUAAA